CCUACGGGAGUCAGCAGUGGGGGAUAUUGCACAAUGGGGGGAACCCUGAUGCAGCGACGCCGCGGGGGUGAAGAAGGGCCUCGGCGCGUAAAGCCCUGUCAGCAGGGAAGAAAAUGACGGUACCUGAAGAAGAAGCCCCGGCUAACGACGUGCCCGCAGCCGCGGUAAUACGUAGGGGGCAAGCGUUAGCCGGAUUGACUGGGUGUAAAGGGGGCGCAGACGGCGAUGCAAGCCAGGAGUGAAAGCCCGGGGCCCAACCCCGGGACUGCUCUUGGAACUGCGUGGCUGGAGUGCAGGAGGGGCAGGCGGACUUCCUGGUGUAGCGGUGAACUGCGUAGAUAUCAGGAGGAACCCCGGUGGCGAAGGCGGCCUGCUGGACUGCAACUGACGUUGAGGCCCGACAGCGUGGGGAGCACACAGGCUUCGCUACCCCAGUAGUC
rnacentral:rRNA from 1 species